rnacentral:lncRNA from 1 species
UCUUUUCACUCUUGUGACUAUCUCAGUCCUCUGCUGUUUUGUAACUGGUUUACCUCUAUAGUUUAUUUAUUUUUAAAUUAUAAACACUUUUCAGCUGCUAGUAUCAGAACCACAUGAAGUUAUAGCCUCUAAAGCCUCUGGUAUUUUAUAUAAUAUUUUUAUAACUUUAAGAGACUGUAGUAAUUGACCUAAAAACUUAUGUUAGCUUCAGUAAAAGUACUUUUAUUGUAAAUAAACCAUCAUGAACUCAACACUCUGCUUGAAUAUACGCCAGUUGUCUUUCAUAAUCAAUGUUUAGAUAAAUGAUUGCCACUUUUUAUAUGGUUAUUUAGUUUCAAGCAAUAUGAUGUACAUUACUUUUGAGAAACAGUAUUUUGACUAGGACCUCUCUAUUUGUCAGCACAGAACUGAUUAAUAUGUACUGCUAACUGCUAAUUUAAAUGUAAAAUCCAGUAAAGAAAACAUUUUAAAAUCACAAUUAGCAGAGCAGUUCGUGUUUAAGGGUAUCACUUUAAAAAGAAAUGACAUUCAAUUGCUUCCUUUUGGUCCACACAUUCAGUAGAUGGACUUUUAUUUUUUCCCUGUUGGUGCAUUGAUAUUAAACAAUGUUUAACUACAUUUAAUCAAGAAAAGGGAUAAAGAGAGAUAGAACAGGCCACACAUGAUUGCAGGUGGCCCCC